GACGAACGCUGGCGGCGUGCCUAAUACAUGCAAGUCGAGCGGACCGAACAGGAGCUUGCUCUUGUUCGGUUAGCGGCGGACGGGUGAGUAACACGUGGGUAACCUGCCCGUAAGACCGGGAUAACUCCGGGAAACCGGAGCUAAUACCGGAUAACACCGAAGACCGCAUGGUCUUUGGUUGAAAGGCGGCUUCGGCUGCCGCUUACGGAUGGGCCCGCGGCGCAUUAGCUAGUUGGUGAGGUAACGGCUCACCAAGGCGACGAUGCGUAGCCGGCCUGAGAGGGUGACCGGCCACACUGGGACUGAGACACGGCCCAGACGCCUACGGGAGGCAGCAGUAGGGAAUCUUCCGCAAUGGACGAAAGUCUGACGGGGCGACGCCGCGUGAGCGAAGAAGGUCUUCGGAUCGUAAAGCUCUGUUGUUAGGGAAGAAGAAGCGUCGUUCGAACAGGGCGGCGCGGUGACGGUACCUAACGAGAAAGCCCCGGCUAACUACGUG
rnacentral:rRNA from 1 species